UUUAUUUCGAAACGAUUGGAUUAUCAAAAUUAUUCCACUAAUAUAUGUAUAAUAAGGAGGUUGGAACGUUUUAUGAAUAAUGGUUUUUUGUGUUUUAAUGUGAACAAGGAUGUUUACCAAGUGUAUAACACAAAAAAUGCCAUAUAGAUGUACGGAAGGAAAGAUUUAUCACUGAAGAAGGACCUAGAAUCAAAAUAGACCCGAAAUGCAUAUGUAAUCUAAGAUAUUUCAAUAAAUAAUGUUCCUGACCUUGAAGCUAUAAGACAGUACCAGAAUUUUCUGGAUUAGAGAGACAUAUACAUAAGAACAAAUAGACAGCUACCAAAUUAUAGAAAAUCGUUAAAUUUUAUAAUUUUUAUGAGAGACCUAUCAAGUAACUUAAUGGAAUGGGACCAUAUAAAAAAAGACACCAAAAGCUGAGCACGUCCUACCAGAUAGAGGAACUGUUCUAGAAUGAACUUGAAAGCAGAUUAA